rnacentral:rRNA from 1 species
CACGUAGGGCGCAAGCGUUGUCCGGAAUUAUUGGGCGUAAAGAGCUCGUAGGCGGUCUGUUGCGUCCGCUGUGAAAACUCGGGGCUUAACCCCGAGCCUGCAGUGGAUACGGGCAGACUAGAGGUAGGUAGGGGAGAAUGGAAUUCCCGGUGUAGCGGUGAAAUGCGCAGAUAUCGGGAAGAACACCGGUGGCGAAGGCGGCUCUCUGGGCCUGUCCUGACGCUCAGGCGCGAAAGCUAGGGGAGCGAACAGG